rnacentral:rRNA from 1 species
GCUAAUACCGCAUAACAACGUUGUUCGCAUGAACAACGCUUAAAAGAUGGCUUCUCGCUAUCACUUCUGGAUGGACCUGCGGUGCAUUAGCUUGUUGGUGGGGUAAUGGCCUACCAAGGCGAUGAUGCAUAGCCGAGUUGAGAGACUGAUCGGCCACAAUGGGACUGAGACACGGCCCAUACUCCUACGGGAGGCAGCAGUAGGGAAUCUUCCACAAUGGGCGCAAGCCUGAUGGAGCAACACCGCGUGAGUGAAGAAGGGUUUCGGCUCGUAAAGCUCUGUUGUUAAAGAAGAACACGUAUGAGAGUAACUGUUCAUACGUUGACGGUAUUUAACCAGAAAGUCACGGCUAACUACGUGCCAGCAGCCGCGGUAAUACGUAGGUGGCAAGCGUUAUCCGGAUUUAUUGGGCGUAAAGAGAGUGCAGGCGGUUUUCUAAGUCUGAUGAAAAAGCCUUCGGCUUAACCGGAGAAGUGCAUCGGAAACUGGAUAACUUGAGUGCAGAAGAGGGUAGUGGAACUCCAUGUGUAGCGGUGGAAUGCGUAGAUAUAUGGAAGAACACCAGUGGCGAAGGCGGCUACCUGGUCUGCAACUGACGCUGAGACUCGAAAGCAUGGGUAGCGAACAGGAUUAGA